rnacentral:lncRNA from 12 species
CGGGGGGCGGCGGGGAGGGCGGCCGCGGGCGGGAGGCGGGCGCGGGCCGGCGGGGAGCGGCGGGGGCAGAGUCUCGCGCAAACACCGCGAGAGCCGCAGCGCCGGCGCCCGUGCUCGCGGGACUUGCCGCCCGGCUGUCGCGAGAUCUUCAGACGCGAAACAAAGGGAGGCGCGGGGCGGCGCUCCUGGGGGGCGGGGCGGGACGGGGCGGGGCGCGGGGCGGCGGCCGUGACCGAGUACCGGGGUGGCUGCUUCUCUUCCUGCCCCGACGUCGGGCUGCGGCAGAGCCCAGAAAAUAUGUCCUGAGUUUUUAUUUAGAAGAGAGAGGAAGAACUUCGCCGGGGCAGAGCAGAGGAGGCGGACCUUCCAUGUGGGGCCACACACUGACUGUAACUGUCCACAGUUCACCCCUGGGAGCUUUGUCUCCCUACAGGAGCCCCAGCGUUUCUUCCAACCACAUCAGUAUUCUUCAAUGAGAAGUUUUCACGAUACAUUUUUUUCAAGGUACCGUCCUGCGGAGACUUUGAGCUACUUCAGUUCUCCUUACACCCAUGUCCUGCCGAGGCCCAUCUCUUUUUCUUUAAUUAAAUUUUUUAUUUUGGAAAAAAAAAUUCAAGGAUACAGAAAUGGUGAGAAGAUUAUGAUAAACUUUCUCACACACAUCACCUAGAUUUAUCACCACCUCUCUUCCUGGGCCGCUGGCCGCUGUACGGGCCUCACCUCCUGGGAUGCUCGCCGCUGGAUGGGCUUCACCUCCUGGGACACUGGCCACCGCUCCAAGGCCACCAGUAACUGAAAGCUUCAACUUGAGCCUUUCGGCUGGAGAGGACCUUCCUGGCUGCGGUUGGCAGCGGUGGCACGGGGACCCCGGGUCACAGCCCCCGCUAUGGGCCGCGCCUCUGCUGGGAGAACGGGUGCGGGUGCGGCCGACCAGCAGGGUCAGGGACGAGGGACACGCGGGCCCCCAGCUGCAUCCGGUCCCCCCCCCCCCCCGCCCUCGCUGCUCGGUGCCCAAUAUCCCCCAGCCUGGGCUCCCCACUGCCUCCUGAGUGAGGGUGGGGCGAGUUGGCUUCCACUGCGGGGCUGUGAGCAUCUAGGGCUGACUCCACGGGCAACUGCACUUGGGACCCAAAAUGGCCAUAAAAAAAAAAAAGAUUUGAUUUAUUCAUUUGAGAGCGAGAGCGAGAGAGAA